rnacentral:misc_RNA from 1 species
GUAAGUAAAAGUCGUAACAAGGGCUCCGUAGGUGAACCUGCGGAGGGAUCAUUACAGAGUUCAUGCCCUACCGGGUAGAUCUCCCACCCUAUGUUAUUAUUACUUUGUUGCUUUGGCGGGCCGUUAGGCUCCGGCCCGACUACCGGCCCCGGCUGGUAAGCGCCCGCCAGAGGACCCAAAACCCUGAAUAUUAGUGUCGUCUGAGUACUAUAUAAUAGUUAAAACUUUCAACAACGGAUCUCUUGGUUCUG